rnacentral:rRNA from 1 species
UACGUAGGGACCAAGCGUUGUUCGGAUUUACUGGGCGUAAAGGGCGCGUAGGCGGCGUGACAAGUCACCUGUGAAAUCUCUGAGCUUAACUCAGAACGGCCAAGUGAAACUGUUGUGCUAGAGUGCAGAAGGGGCAAUCGGAAUUCUUGGUGUAGCGGUGAAAUGCGUAGAUAUCAAGAGGAACACCUGAGGUGAAGACGGGUUGCUGGGCUGACACUGACGCUGAUGCGCGAAAGCCAGGGGAGCAAACGGG